AUCUGCUCUGACCUAGUUUGAGUCCAGAGAAGGGAACAAAGCAGAACCAAACUUUCAGGGAGCUUCAUUCCCCCGGAGGAGACCUCGAAGAAGCAGGGAGGAAAACCACGCACGGUGGGCCUGCAAGUUAAGGAUGCUAAGGGAGGAGUGUUAUUCUAGAUGAGGGGACCAGGGGAGGCAGUGCCCUUUGAUGCCUAAGGAUUCACAGAAGAGGCUGUGCUUUGCCUCCCCUUCAACCUGCUACGGCGGUCUCAAUUUGUCAUUUGCCGUCGAUCCAAGUAAAGAAGCGGUUCUCACUUAAAACUCUUAGCGUCAUUGUUUUUGGGGUCUAUUGCUGAGUAUAACAAAGAAACAUUUGGAAGUACCAAAGGCCACGACAGGACAAACAGCAAGCGUGCCUUCAUUGACUUUGUUCUGUAGCUGUUUCAGGUUUUCCUUUGGAAUGGAAGAUGUGUCCCGAGGUGAGACCUGCAUUCUCAUUCAGUCACAGAUACAAGGUGUCUAUCUUGCCCAACAUUACCGUCUCUGGACUCCAGACUUCAUAGGCAUACAGGAAUCCUGUACUCCUAGGACCCGGCAAUGCCCAGGGGAGGGCAGGAGUAGCAAAAGGCGGCCGUGCAGAGUGUGAGGAUUUCCUUUGCUCCUGCCUAGGGUCCUUGCCGCAGUGCAUUUACAAGAUGGAAAACCAAGUUACCAAGAAUUUUAGGUCGAUGACCUAAGACUGUGGAGCCAUGUGUGCCAUGCUCGUGGCCGGCAUGGCCCAGGCUACACACCCACACAGCUGACCCCGUUCAACUCUGCUCUUUGGAGAACUAGUCUGGCCUUUGUGGCAGAUGUUGAAGGACUGGAUGAAUGAGAUAAAUAAACCUACUGCCCGAGGCA